GCGGGCGUCGUCGUCUCGGCCCUGCAGCCGCGCCAGGAGUCCGCGCUGCACAAAGCUCUGGCGGGCGGCGCGGCCCCGGCCGCCGCUCAGCUCCACCGCGCGUUCCAGAUCCUCCAGGGCGCCUGUGGGACCGAUGAGACGGGCGGGGCGGGGGUCAGCGGCGGCCUGGGCGGCCUUGCCCGAGCCCCAGCCCACCUGCGGCCGCGCGGAUCACCGUGGUCCUUGCGGCUCCGGGGCGUGGCCAUUUACAACCCGCCUCGCACCUGCUAGAGAAAAGACCCCGGCCAUGGAUGGGAGACCUAGGACAAAGAUGGAAAAGAGAAUCAACUCUGCCUUAGGCGAACAAUUUACCAUAAUAUUCUAAGACAGGAGUGGAAUGACACCUCCAGCCAUUACCUGCAAAUGAGAGCUGCUUUAGGCGGGCA